UACGGGGGGGGCAAGCGUUGUUCGGAAUUACUGGGCGUAAAGGGCGCGUAGGCGGCCUGCUAAGUCGGACGUGAAAUCCCUCGGCCUAACCGAGGAACUGCCUUUGAAACUGCUUGGCUUGAGGCCGGGAGAGGGUAGCGGAAUUCCCAGUGUAGCGGUGAAAUGCGUAGAUAUUGGGAGGAACACCAGUGGCGAAGGCGGCUACCUGGACCGGUUCUGACGCUGAGGCGCGAAAGCGUGGGGAGCAAACAGG
rnacentral:rRNA from 1 species